rnacentral:rRNA from 1 species
UACAGAGGGGGCAAGCGUUAUUCGGAAUCAUUGGGCGUAAAGCGCGCGUAGGCGGCUUUGCAAGUCGGGUGUGAAAUCCCCAGGCUUAACCUGGGAACUGCAUUCGAGACUGCAUUGCUAGAGUAUGGGAGAGGGAAGUGGAAUUUCCGGUGUAGCGGUGAAAUGCGUAGAUAUCGGAAGGAACAUCAGUGGCGAAAGCGACUUCCUGGACCAAUACUGACGCUCAUGUGCGAAAGCGUGGGGAGCAAACAGG